GAUCUGAACUUACAUUCAAGAUGAACAUCGUACUACUCUUCUAUGUUUUCAUACCUUUCCCCAGUAUUGCUGAACCUGCAGACAGUGGCAUUAGACCAGAAAACCACACCAUAUCUAUAACUGAGGGCAGCUAUAGCACACUGUCCUGUACAUAUGAUGGAUCACCUUAUAGUCUACACUGGUAUAAACAGAAGCCUGGAUCAAGACCAGAGUUUCUGCUGCUGAUUAUGGUAGCAACAGAGCAUGUAACUAAAGCUGAACCACCUCACCCACAACUGGCUGUCAAACUUCACAAAAAGGAUAAGAAAGUGAAUCUGCUGAUCUCCCCUGCUACAGUAUCUGACUCUGCACUGUACUACUGUUGUUCAGGAGAUGUUGUAACAGGGGGCUGA